UUGUCGUUGUUGUUGUUGUUGUUGUUGUCCUUCCUUCUAAGUUCGAUUCUAACUGACGACUUGCCUUUGCCUUAUCUUUACCGCGUGAAUCUGUCGCAAAAUUCCACAUACACAAUAAAACUUGACGCUUUUUUUUUUUUUUUUUUUUUUUUUUUUGCUUCUCGUCGUCGAAUCGUACUAAGUUUUUGUCUCGAAGAACGACGUUAUCUUUUUCGAUUGCCGAUAUGAACCGGAAAAUAGGAAGAUGUAUAGUAAUAGUAGUAGUAGUAGUAGUAGCUCCCAUCGAAUCGAUGUCGAGGCAUGCGUUUUCGACCGUGUCAUCGAAAAGAGGGAGUCCAUUGUGUGAAAACGAAAAAGAGAGAAAUUCGAAAUGGG